rnacentral:piRNA from 1 species
UAAGUGUUCUGAUGUCAAAGGCCAAUGUU